rnacentral:rRNA from 1 species
ACGGCCCAUAUUCCUACGGGAAGCAGCAGUGAGGAAUUUUUCACAAUGGACGAAAGUCUGAUGGAGCAAUACCACGUGAACGAUGAAGGUCUUCUGAUUGUAAAGUUCUUUUAUUUAGGAAAAAAAGCGCGCUAGGAAAUGAGCGCGCCUUGAUGGUACUAAUUGAAUAAGUGACAGCUAACUAUGUGCCAGCAGCUGCGGUAAAACAUAGGUCACAAGCAUUAUCCGGAUUUAUUGGGCGUAAAGGAAGCGUAGGCGGGGAGGCUGAUCCAUUGUUAAAGGCAUUUGCUCAACAAAUGUGUGCGAUGGAGAUCUCCUCCCUAGAGUUAAUCAGGGGGUACUGGAAUUCAAUGUGUAGCGGUGGAAUGCGUAGAUAUAUUGAGGAACACCAGAGGCUAAGGCGAGUACCUGGGAUAUAACUGACGCUGAGGCUUGAAAGCGUGGGGAGCAAAUGGGAUUAGAUACCCCAGUAGUCCACGCCGUAAACGAUGAGCAUUAGGUAUUUGAUGUUAGGUCGAGUGCUGUAGCUAACGCGUUAAAUGCUCCGCCUGGGUAGUAUAUAUGCAAAUAUGAAACUCAAAGAAAUUGACGGGGACCUGAACAAGUGGUGGAG